rnacentral:rRNA from 1 species
UACGGAGGGUGCGAGCGUUGCUCGGAAUCACUGGGCGUAAAGCGUACGCAGGCUGUCGUGCAAGUCGGGUGUGAAAGCCCGGGGCUCAACCCCGGAAUUGCGCCCGAGACUGCGUGACUUGAAUGCGGGAGAGGGAAGCGGAAUUCCUGGUGUAGAGGUGAAAUUCGUAGAUAUCAGGAGGAACACCAGUGGCGAAAGCGGCUUCCUGGCCCGACAUUGACGCUCAUGUACGAAAGCGCGGGGAGCAAACAGG